rnacentral:rRNA from 1 species
UAAGACGAGGGGUCCAAGCGUUGUUCGGAAUUAUUGGGCGUAAAGCGGGUGUAGGUGGCUCUAUAAGUCAGGAGUGAAAGCCCCAAGCUUAACUUGGGAAGUGCUUUUGAUACUGCAGAGCUUGAAUGUGGGAGAGGGUAGUAGAAUUCCAGGUGUAGUGGUGAAAUACGUAGAUAUCUGGAGGAAUACCGGUGGCGAAGGCGGCUACCUGGCCCAACAUUGACACUGAGACCCGAAAGCGUGGGGAUCAAACAGGAUUAGAUACCCUGGUAGUCCACGCCGUAAACGAUGGAUACUUGUUGUUGGAGGUAUUGACCCCUUCAGUGACGAAGCUAACGCGUUAAGUAUCCCGCCUGGGGAGUACGGCCGCAAGGUUA